GAGUUUGAUCGUGGCUCAGAUUGAACGCUGGCGGCAGGCCUAACACAUGCAAGUCGAGCGGUAGAGAGAAGCUUGCUUCUCUUGAGAGCGGCGGACGGGUGAGUAAUGCCUAGGAAUCUGCCUGGUAGUGGGGGAUAACGCUCGGAAACGGACGCUAAUACCGCAUACGUCCUACGGGAGAAAGCAGGGGACCUUCGGGCCUUGCGCUAUCAGAUGAGCCUAGGUCGGAUUAGCUAGUUGGUGAGGUAAUGGCUCACCAAGGCGACGAUCCGUAACUGGUCUGAGAGGAUGAUCAGUCACACUGGAACUGAGACACGGUCCAGACUCCUACGGGAGGCAGCAGUGGGGAAUAUUGGACAAUGGGCGAAAGCCUGAUCCAGCCAUGCCGCGUGUGUGAAGAAGGUCUUCGGAUUGUAAAGCACUUUAAGUUGGGAGGAAGGGCAAGUAAAUUAAUACUUUGCUUGUUUUGACGUUACCGACAGAAUAAGCACCGGCUAACUCUGU
rnacentral:rRNA from 1 species